UUUUUAGCAUAAGUAUCUUCCAUGCAAAAUUUGGGACAUACUUAUCCUAAAA
rnacentral:pre_miRNA from 1 species